UCAGUGAGCAUAGAGCUAGACGUCUCUCAGUGAUUCGUGUUUCUUCAUGCAUCAAAUAUAUAUAGUUCAUUUCAGUAACUAUUUUUACCGUAAAUAAACUCAUAGUUUUUUAAUUUUUUUGUGUAAUUUGUGAGUGACAAAUAAAAAUAGAUAUUUAGGAAAACGAGGAUUAUAUUGGUGACAUUUUUUUAAGUUUUUCAUUAUUGGUUCUUAUAAAUUAAUGGAUCCAAUUAUAUUAGAAAACAACAAUGGUAUCGGACAGCAGCAGCAACAACAACAGCAAUAUGGUGAAGUAAAUCAGCUUGGCGGUGUAUUCGUUAACGGUAGACCUUUACCGAAUGCUGUGAGACUUAGGAUUGUUGAAUUGGCACAGCUCGGAAUUCGACCCUGUGACAUUUCUCGUCAAUUACGCGUUAGUCACGGAUGCGUUAGUAAAAUUCUAGCUCGUUACCAUGAAACAGGAAGUAUUUUACCCGGUGCGAUCGGUGGCAGUAAGCCCCGUGUAACGACACCGAAAGUUGUUCAAUACAUAAAACAAUUAAAGUUAAAAGAUCCUGGAAUAUUUGCUUGGGAAAUAAGAGAUCGGCUACUUUCCGAUGGUGUUUGUGAUAAAUACAACGUACCGUCGGUUUCAAGUAUCUCAAGAAUAUUAAGGAAUAAAGUAGGAGCUAAUUCAAGUGCUCUUCACCAUCAUCCUCAUCAUCCGGCUCAUCAUCACCAUCAUCAUCACAUAUAUGCCGCGGCUGCCGCAGCUGGGGCAGCUUUAUGUCCAGUAACGUAUCCACCGUCGCCUUACCAUCAACCACCUUCAGCAGUCACUCAUCAUCAUCACCAUCAUCAUCAUCAAAGUGAACGAUUAGGUAAGUUUGAGUAAACUAUACCAUAAAAGUUGUACUGUGGAGUCUCUUCAAUAUGACUUGCGCAAAGUUAGAUUAUAUGAAAGCAAAAAAUAAUAACGGGGACAUCCACUUCAGGACUAAAUAAAUCAAGAGAUAAAAUUUAUUUUUAUUUUAAAUCACGUAUUUAUCCGCGUUUUCACCAGCAUGCUAAUUAAUGCGUGGAAAUUCCUACCAAUGGUGGAUCUGCUUUGCGAAAUUUUAGGAAAUCGAGUGUUUGAUUAAAUCGGAAUUGGAUUCGUGGUGACUGGGCUUAGAGCCGCUGGUUUAGGAGACCAAGUAAUCCAAUCACAAAAUAUGUCUUGAUAAAUUUUUAAAAAAUACUCAAGUCGGUUCAAGUUUUCUGAGCCCGUCUACGGAAUGUCUUCAAAAUGACCUGGCGAGGAUGACCGAAGAAAUCUUUAAGUGAUAUUCAAACUGUCCGUGAGAAAAAUUUGAAAAAACUAAACAUCAUCAUCCUACUUAUGUAUUAAUGGACUCCAAUAACUGGCUAACGCUACUUUUAAAAACUGCGACUCUGCAAAAUGAUGUAUAUUGUCUGAGAUAUUUUCUCUCAGGAUAAUUAAACGUGACACCCACGUGGCGAGCAGACCAGCUGGUGUAUUGAUCAGUUCCGGAUGGAAUAAACUGACGCCAAGCGAUGAGAGAUUUGAUGAGUUUGCUGAUCGAAUAAAGUACCGUGUUUUAUUGAACUCAAGCUGAUUUAUGUCAAGUUGAUCUUGUUGGUGUUGGCCCGAUGAUUGAGCAGGAGCUACUUGAGCAACCGCUGAGCUUAAAUCAUCAGGUAUUUUAACGUGAGUUUAACCAGGCCGUUAAAAUUACGCUAGUCAACCAACUUAAAAUUAAAUUCACCGUAAGAGUAUUUGAGUGAGAGCUAAUAAAACAAAAUAUUUUUUAUAAAAAUUUAAUUAACUGCUAAGUUAAUGUACAUCAGUUGAGACUCAUUGCUGGAUCUAAUGCGAUGGUUUUCUCUGUAGCAAUCAUAGAGGUUACCAGUUUCAUCUGGAUCCCACAAACCCUUAGAAGAUAGAGCUAGACCUUUUAGUUUAAAUGUUGGAUUCCGUCCAAGACGAAAACGCCAGAACAUGCCGACGAUCAAACAAGUCUAUACUAAGCGACAAAACGCCAUUCGUCAGUUGCUUUUUUUUAAAACAUGAUCACAGUGUAAUUUUGAAAAGUGUUAAAUUAUAGAGACUAGAUCUCAGUGAAGCUCUUGACAGACUGAAAAAAUUAUCAACUCUCAUUACUGUAUAUUUAAUUUUUAAAAAAUAUGAUAUUAAAUUGGAUUUACAAGUGAAAAAUUUAAGGAUUUAAUGAGCGUCCAUCAAGUUGGAAGUUCCAGAUAAUCCAUAUAUUUACAUUCGCCAGCAAAGGUAAAAACUUGACGUUCUCCAUCAAUAAAAUUUUGAAGCAGGAUCUGGUUACUUUUCAUGAUUCCAAUCAGCAAAACAGUU